rnacentral:rRNA from 1 species
AACGAACGCUGGCGGCGCGUUUUAAGCAUGCAAGUCGGACGGUAGAGGGAGCUUGCUCCCUUGAGAGUGGCGAACGGGUGAGUAACGCGUAGAUGAUCUACCUUUUGGUUGGGGAUAGCUCAUGGAAACAUGGGGUAAUACCGAAUAAGAUCCUUUUGCUGUGGCGAAGGGAUGAAAGGGGCUUCGGCCUCGCCGAGAGAUGAGUCUGCGUAUGAUUAGCUAGUUGGUGUGGUAAAGGCGCACCAAGGCGACGAUCAUUAGCCGGCCUGAGAGGGUGACCGGCCACAUUGGGACUGAGACACGGCCCAGACUCCUACGGGAGGCAGCAGCUAAGAAUCUUCCGCAAUGGGCGAAAGCCUGACGGAGCGACGCCGCGUGGGUGAAGAAGGCCGAGAGGUUGUAAAGCCCUUUUCCUACAGAAGAAUAAGU